rnacentral:rRNA from 1 species
ACUUGAUCUGAAUUCAGGCGGGAUUACCCGCUGAACUUAAGCAUAUCAAUAAGGGGAGGAA